GCGCAUCAAGGGCGCUUGCUGGGCGUGUCCACGUCGGACUGGCUAGAAGACAAAACAAUUUGCCAAUUGCUUCUCCGCCGAUUCGUCCAGACGAAAGACAAAGGAGCCCUCUUCACUGCCUCUUCCCCCCACACGCAAUCUCUCCUCUCGUUUCUCUCCUCCGCCUCUUCCCCGUGGGGGCCUUGCGGCUGCAGUGAGCUGAGAUUUAAGGGGGCGAGCAGGAUGGCUGGCCAACUGAUUCUUCGCCGGAUCUGGAGCCCAGGGAUGCGCGAAGGACCGGCCUGGUGUUGCCGGGGCGAUGAAGUGGUCGGAGGCGCUGGAUCCGCGGCCAAUCAGUCUGCAACGGCGGCAAGACGACGGAGAUCGGGAUUAUAGCACGGAAGAAAGGUCAAGAGAAAUGGAUAUAUUAAGACUCUUUCCUUACUGGCUUGAUACUAAUCAAUGGAAUGCAAUACUGAACGAUGUUAACAUUCCCUCUUUGUUUAUUCUGACUGGUCCAAAUGGUGGAGGUAAAUCCAGCAUGUUGUGUUCAGUCUACACGGCUGCAUUGCUUGGAAUAUGUGGGCUGAUGGUGCCAGCUGCUUCAGCUGUCAUCUCACACUUAAAUUCCAUCAUGUUGCAUAUGAAGGCCUAUGCUACUUGAGCUGACGGGAAAAGUUCAUUUCAGGUGCCAAUUUUGUAGCUUUGCAUUCCUUUUCUGCAAAAUAUGUGUCUUGUAUUCCCAGGAGCACAUGUGCUACACUAUCUUAUAAUGUUUAGAUUUUCUGGAUCAUGGAGUCAAGCCUGAUAAAAAAUACUUUUUUAUGUUAUUUAAUUUUGAUGUCGAGCUUUUCAAUAUCACGGGAAAGAGUCGAGAUGCUAGAAACUAUAUUGGCAUGGGGCUUGGUGGUAUAGUUCCCUGGCCUUCGAGUCAGGAUAUGAAACUACCUUCAAUUUACAGGAUCUGAAAUAGCUCGGUGAUCUUUCUUCCCACAUCAUCUCAGAAUUCUGUAUGUAGUCCUCUAAAGCAAAAGUGAAAUUUUCAUGUCUUGGUACAUUUUAAUUUCAGAGAACUCGACAUUCAGAACUCGCUGGCUCCAGCUAGAUGAGCUUGCUGGUAUUUUAUUAUCUGGUCAUAAGCAGAUUUGUUAUCUUCAAUUAAAGCUAAAUGUGAGCCACACCAACUUCCUUUAGUUCUUGGAAUUUUGUUAUUGUCCUUUGGAUUAACAAUAUGCCACAAUGCUUUAGAAGAUUUGCAGGGAUGUGUGCUAUUUGAAGAUACAGGUGGCCUUCUUUGUUACUUAUGUUUUCAUUUUUUUAUAAACUAUUUGCAGUUCCAUCUGCUUCGUUUCUGCAAUCUUCAAAUUCAACUUAUGUUAGAGGCUUCAGUUCUUAACAUAUGGUACUUGAUUAAUCAUCAUGUAUAUUGUAUAAACAUAAAAUGAUGCACUGAAUGCACUAUGCUCUUGCAUAUUGUUGAUGUUAAUGUUUAAUUAUGAUCAAGAAUAGUUGGCAUGAGAUGAUCCUGCAUCUGAACUAACGGAAAAGCAAGGAAAGCCUCUGCUGUCUUAUUCUACCUUUUUGUUCUUUGUAGUGUGACAUGCUGAUGCACAACUAUGUUAUCCAACUACAAUUGUAGGCAAGCACUAAUGCCCCUCUUUGUGCUCAUAUGUGUUCUCUGUUAGCCAGGUUAGUGUGAAGUAAGCAGGUAGUUUUAUAGGAAUGCCCACUAUAUCAUGUUCAGAGGUUGCGUAAAAGUUAACUACAUCUGAUAUCCAGCCUCCUUCAUAUUAUUUUCUUCUAUGAUAUAUUCAGUGUCAAUCUAAACGUGCUUCUGAAGUCAAUAACCAUAUCUUAGUGUUUUUUUACAAUAGUCAUCUGCUUCUUAUCUGUUCUAGGUGUUCUUGCCUCUGAGCCCACUCUUUGCCAUGAUGUACUGAUCUCCUCAUUUUACAUUAUUUAUGUUAUUUGUAUGUGCGAUCUUGUCACAAGUUUUCCACAAUUUUUGUUCAUGUCAGUGUCACGAAAAUCAUUUUCGACCAGUCCCAGUUUCUUUCUAUCUACUUGCGUUUAACACCCAGUUGUAAAAUAAUGUGGCGCCGACACUCUCACCCGUCGUUGUGCCUCUCCAGGAUUAGCCAACUCAAGCGACUUCUUGCCAGUGUACAUCGGCGACGACGACCGCACCGACAAUACUGGUGGCCAAGUGCGCCAAGGAGACCAGCACGUCUUACUCACUCUAGACCAGCAAAGUUUUUUCAUUGCCUUUAGGCAUUUGAAACGGAGAUGGUAUGAUCCUCCUAUAUUUGCAUGCUUGUAGCUCUGAUGUACAACCUCCG